CGGGGCUCGAACUGAUGAACCGUGAGAUCAUGACCUGAGGGGAGAUCAAGAGUCAGACGCUUAACCGACUGGACCCCUGAGGCGACCCGCUGACAUGAGAUAUCUGGAGCCUGAGACCAUCUGGAAGACGAAGGAGGAGGAGGAGGAGGGGGAGAAGGAGGAAAGAAGCAGCAGCAAGGACACCUUGGAGGCCAAUGUUUGCAAGAGUCCUGCUUCUGCAAGCUCAGCACUCACAGCAUCCUCGGGGCCAUCCGACCAGAGCGAAGUCAUCUGACCACAAGGAAUGUUUCCCAAGCUUUCUAACUGGACAGCCACCUCAUAAGGGUAUGACUUUGAGGGGUUAAAACAAAACCCUAUGCGUCUCUUUCCUCUCCCUUCCAUCAGCCUUGGGGUGAAAAGGAACAAACGCAAAGUCACAUAUAGUCCUAUUUGGAAACGACCAGAAUAGGGAAGUCAUUCAGAAGAAAAGUCUAGAAAGUUCACUUUU